AUUGAACGCUGGCGGCAUGCUUUACACAUGCAAGUCGAACGGCAGCGCGGGCUUCGGCCUGGCGGCGAGUGGCGAACGGGUGAGUAAUACAUCUGAACGUGCCCAGUAGUGGGGGAUAGCUCGGCGAAAGCCGGAUUAAUACCGCAUACGACCUGAGGGUGAAAGCGGGGGAUCUUCGGACCUCGCGCUAUUUGAGCGGCCGAUGGCAGAUUAGCUAGUUGGUGGGGUAAAGGCCUACCAAGGCGACGAUCUGUAGCUGGUCUGAGAGGACGACCAGCCACACUGGGACUGAGACACGGCCCAGACUCCUACGGGAGGCAGCAGUGGGGAAUUUUGGACAAUGGGCGAAAGCCUGAUCCAGCAAUGCCGCGUGUGUGAUGAAGGCCUUCGGGUUGUAAAGCACUUUUGGCGGGAACGAAAAGGACUGUGCCAAUACCACGGUUCGAUGACGGUACCCGCAGAAUAAGCACCGGCUAACUACGUG
rnacentral:rRNA from 1 species